AUAACGGUCCUAAGGUAGCGAAAUUCCUUUUCGGGUAAGUUCCGACCUGCACGAAUGGCGUAACGACUUGGGCGCUGUCUCAACCAUGGACUCGGCGAAAUUGCAUUACGAGUAAAGAUGCUCGUUACGCGCAGCAGGACGGAAAGACCCCGGGACCUUUACUAUAGCUUGGUAUUGGUGUUCGGUGCGGCUUGUGUAGGAUAGGUGGGAGACUGUGAAGCUGUCACGCUAGUGGUGGUGGAGUCGUUGGUGAAAUACCACUCUGGUCGUUCUGGUUAUCUAACGUUGGGCCAUGAUCUGGUUCACGGACAGUGCCUGAUGGGUAGUUUGACUGGGGCGGUCGCCUCCUAAAGGGUAACGGAGGCGCCCAAAGGUUCCCUCAGCCUGGUUGGUAAUCAGGUGGUGAGUGUAAGUGCACAAGGGGGCUUGACUGUGAGACUGACAGGUCGAGCAGGGACGAAAGUCGGGACUAGUGAUCUGACGGUGGCUUGUGGAUGCGCCGUCACUCAACGGAUAAAAGGUACCUCGGGGAUAACAGGCUGAUCUUGCCCGAGCGCUCAUAGCGACGGCAUGGUUUGGCACCUCGAUGUCGGCUC
rnacentral:rRNA from 13 species